CUAUUUUGCUGCAGCACAGUGGAGAGGAAGAAGGCAGUCCAAAUGUCUGUCCUAAGGUCUCUGCCUGCCACCUCGUCCUCUCUGCCAGGUCCAGGCACUGAGGUACAGGACCAGCCUGACACCCCAGCCUUCAGAGUGUUCUGGACAUCCCUGAACAGCCCCUGCCCAGCCCCAAGCACCGUGGGAUGGCACCUCUGUCUGGUCACAAGGCCCAGCCAGACGGACACCUCUGGAUGGCAGGAGUGGUGAAGACUCCCUGGCUACCCAACCCACCUGAGAGACCCACGCCAUCAGGAAAGUCGGGACAGAGCCAGGCUGCCUGGUGGAGACGUGGGGGGUUAGACAGGGGCAAGACCAGUGGCAUCAGCUCCAGCCUGUGACUUUCUCUGUCCUUCACUCACAGUGGCCUCGGAGGCCUGGUCCAUGGUAGGAACGGUGGGGCAGAGCUGGAUGGGAGCUGGAGGAAUGGGUGGUCUGUGUCCCAGCUGCAGAAGCGCUGAGAUCGGUCUGGGGAUGGCCGCUUGGCUGUGGGAUGUGGCAUGGGUGUCACUCAUACUGCGAGGCCCCGCUGUCCUCUGAUUUAGCCCUUUGACAAAGGUGUGGCGGCACCUGUGAGAUCCCAGAUUUGCCCCUGGAGAUGAGUCUGGUUAAUAAAGUGAGACAGG
rnacentral:lncRNA from 1 species